rnacentral:rRNA from 1 species
AUUGAACGCUGGCGGCAGGCCUAACACAUGCGAGUCGAGCGGCAGCGGAAAGUAGCUUGCUACUUUGCCGGCGAGCGGCGGACGGGUGAGUAAUGUCUGGGAAACUGCCUGAUGGAGGGGGAUAACUACUGGAAACGGUAGCUAAUACCGCAUAACGUCGCAAGACCAAAGAGGGGGACCUUCGGGCCUCUUGCCAUCAGAUGUGCCCAGAUGGGAUUAGCUAGUAGGUGGGGUAACGGCUCACCUAGGCGACGAUCCCUAGCUGGUCUGAGAGGAUGACCAGCCACACUGGAACUGAGACACGGUCCAGACUCCUACGGGAGGCAGCAGUGGGGAAUAUUGCACAAUGGGCGCAAGCCUGAUGCAGCCAUGCCGCGUGUAUGAAGAAGGCCUUCGGGUUGUAAAGUACUUUCAGCGGGGAGGAAGGUGUUGAGGUUAAUAACCUCAGCAAUUGACGUUACCCGCAGAAGAAGCACCGGCUAACUCCGUGCCAGCCGCCGCAGUGAUAC